UGGCAGGAGAAUUGGGUGCUGCUCCCGUUGGCUACGGUGUGGGCGGGUGUGUUUUUGGAUCCUGCGAGAUGGGAGGAGGUGGUCCUCCUUCGAGGUUGAGCCGAGGCACGGACCGCCAAUUCUGGGUGGUGACAUUACAAUCUUUCCAAAUGAGGUUGAUGUUCUGACAGUUUGCAAACCUGCAUCAGUUCCAGUGAUUGACUACUACACCAAGAAGGGCAUAGUCGCAAAUCUUCAUGUAGAAAAGCCACCAAAGGAAGUGACUGUUGAGGUGCAGAAAACUAUGUCAUGUAGUGCAUAUUCUCCGGCCUAGACAUGCAUGUGCCAAGGCAAUAUUAAUUCAGUUUUGAAGUUUGCAAUAGGUAACACUUAACUUAUCAUUUACUAAGAGCAAGGCUAAUAAUAUAGCCAACAUGCUAGUUAUAACACUAUUUUGUAGUUUUCUUAUAGUCUACUCAUAUAGUGGUUAGUUUUUCAUCUUUAAUACAGGACCCACAUAUCUCUCUCACAAAGUAUUUUGGUUCGUGUGUCUGAGCUGGCUAUAAGCUUGUAGCCCACUUGUCCUCUCUCUCCUCCU